rnacentral:rRNA from 1 species
UUGGGGUCCAAAAAAUUAUAUGCGCCUCAGUCGCGUCUAACACAGGUCUAAAAUCUCGUUAACAAGAACUAACUUACAGGUUCACAAAAUCUGGAAUUUAUAUUUUGUGUAGUGGACCCNGUCAUCAGCCCCACCAAGGGGGGCCCAACAUACAAGUGUUCAAAAACUUCAAAGAAACCCCUCUAGAGGUGUGAGUACCCCCUGCGAAUCCGGGUUCAGGUGGGGGGAAUAACUACUGGAAAACGGUUGCUAAUACCGGAUGUGCCGAGAGGUGAAAGCCUAGCUCCCUGAAGAUGAGCUCGCGUCUGAUUAGCUAGUUGGUAGGGUAAGAGACUACCAAGGCGACGAUCAGUAGCUGGUCUGAGAGGAUGAUCAGCCACACUGGGAUUGAGACACGGCCCAGACUCCUACGGGAGGCAGCAGUGGGGAAUUUUCCGCAAUGGGCGAAAGCCUGACGGAGCAAUACCGCGUGAGGGAGGAAGGCUCUUGGGUUGUAAACCUCUUUUCUCAAGGAAUAAGAACUGAAGGUACUUGAGGAAUCAGCAUCGGCUAACUCCGUGCCAGCAGCCGCGGUAAUACGGAGGAUGCAAGCGUUAUCCGGAAUGAUUGGGCGUAAAGCGUCCGCAGGUGGCUGUGUAAGUCUGCUGUUAAAGAGUCUAGCUUAACUAGAUAAGAGCAGUGGAAACUACAUAGCUAGAGUGCGUUCGGGGUAGAGGGAAUUCCUGGUGUAGCGGUGAAAUGCUAGAGGUCAGGAAGAACAUCCGGUGGCGAGGGCGCUGGUUUGGGCGCCCGGCACAUGAUGAGAUCAUCCANGGGGGAAGCAAAA